GAUGAACGCUGGCGGCGUGCUUAACACAUGCAAGUCGAACGAGAAGUGAAGACGGAAACCUUCGGGCGGAAGGCUUUAUUUCGAGUGGCGGACGGGUGAGUAACGCGUGGGUAACCUGCCUCAUACAGGGGGAUAACAGUUGGAAACGACUGUUAAUACCGCAUAAGACCACAGCACCGCAUGGUGCGGGGGUAAAAACUCCGGUGGUAUGAGAUGGACCCGCGUUCGAUUAGCCAGUUGGCGGGGUAACGGCCCACCAAAGCGACGAUCGAUAGCCGAUCUGAGAGGAUGACCGGCCACAUUGGGACUGAGGCACGGCCCAAACUCCUACGGGAGGCAGCAGUGGGGAAUAUUGCACAAUGGGGGAAACCCUGAUGCAGCGACGCCGCGUGAGUGAAGAAGUAUUUCGGUAUGUAAAGCUCUAUCAGCAGGGAAGAAAAUGACGGUACCUGAGGAAGAAGCCCCGGCUAACUACGUG
rnacentral:rRNA from 1 species